rnacentral:rRNA from 1 species
GAUUGCAGUCUGAGUCGAUUAUCAUAAUCAGUUAAAACUUUCAACAACGGAUCUCUUGGUUCCGGCAUCGAUGAAGAACGCAGCGAAAUGCGAUAACUAAUGUGAAUUGCAGAAUUCAGUGAAUCAUCGAGUCUUUGAACGCACAUUGCGCCCCCUGGUAUUCCGGGGGGCAUGCCUGUCCGAGCGUCAUUGCUGCCCUCAAGCACGGCUUGUGUGUUGGGCCGCCGUCCCCGCCUCCCCGGGGACGGGCCCGAAAGGCAGCGGCGGCACCGCGUCCGGUCCUCGAGCGUAUGGGGCUUCGUCACCCGCUCUGCAGGCCCGGCCGGCGCCGGCCGACCACCAACCCACUUCUUAAGGUUGACCUCGGAUCAGGUAGGGAUACCCGCUGAACUUAAGCAUAUCAAUAAGCGGAGGAAAAGAAACCAACAGGGAUUGCCCCAGUAACGGCGAGUGAAGCGGCAAGAGCUCAAAUUUGAAAGCUGGCCCCCCCGGGGUCCGCGUUGUAAUUUGCAGAGGAUGCUUCGGAUGCGGCCCCCGUCUAAGUGCCCUGGAAGGGGCCGUCAUAGAGGGUGAGAAUCCCGUCUGGGACGGGGUGUCCGCGUCCGUGUGAAGCUCCUUCGACGAGUCGAGUUGUUUGGGAAUGCAGCUCUAAAUGGGUGGUAAAUUUCAUCUAAAGCUAAAUACUGGCCGGAGACCGAUAGCGCACAAGUAGAGUGAUCGAAAGAUGAAAAGCACUUUGAAAAGAGAGUUAAACAGCACGUGAAAUUGUUGAAAGGGAAGCGUUUGCGACCAGACUCGCCCGCGGGGUUCAGCCGGCACUCGUGCCGGUGUA